rnacentral:miRNA from 1 species
UUAAAUUUGAAUUCCAGAUAAACAUUGACUAUUUCUUAGUAUAUGUAUGUCCCAUGCCAUAUUUGGGACCUACUUAUACUAAAAAUUGAUUUGUUUUUCAUCUGAAAUUCAAAUUUAACAGUUUUUUUUUUUUUUU